GCUCAGGGCGCAUAGUAAUCGCCCACAGAGUGCAUUGGCAGAAGCGAGCUUGACUGCAAGGCCUACAAGCCGGGCAGGGACGAAAGUCGGACAAAGUGAUCCGGUGGUACCUCGUGGGAGGGCCAUCGCUCAACGGAUAAAAGCUACCCCGGGGAUAACAGGCUGAUCUGGUCCAAGAGUCCACAUCGACGACCAGGUUUGGCACCUCGAUGUCGGCUCAUCGCAUCCUCCCGCUGAAGCAGGUGGGAAGGGUUGGGCUGUUCGCCCAUUAAAGCGGUACGUGAGCUGGGUUCAGUACGUCGUGAGACAGUACGGUCUCUAUCUGAUAUGCGCGCAGGAUACUUGAGGGGAGCUGCCUACAGUACGAGAGGACCUAGGUGGACGAACCGCCCGUAUACCAGUUGUCGUGCCAACGGCAUAAGCUGGGUAGCGGUGUUCGGUAGGGAUAAACGCUGAAAGCAUCUAAGCGUGAAACCCGCCCCAAGAUAAGGUAUCCCCGGACUUAAUUGUCCCUAAAGGCCCCCGGAAGACUACCGGGUUGAUAGGUCAGAUGUGUAAGCAUGGUAACAUGUUCAGCUAACUGAUACUAAUCGGCCGUGAGGCUUGGCCUU
rnacentral:ncRNA from 1 species